AAGGAGACUUCCCAUGUUUGCAGCGUAGAAAAGGAAACUCAGUGCACUGAAGAGGGCCAAGCCUGGCUUCAGAAGUGUGUGAGGGAGAUUCACAAUUGGGUUUUGUGGAAGGGGAUCCCUGACAAGCAGCAGAGGCUGCGUCAGGCAGUGUGAUAACAGGCGUUGCAGAAGGUACAGGAGCAAGGCCUCUCAGCCUGUCUGAAAAAAUGCUGAAUGCUUCUUUGGUGAUCCAGCAACUAUAGAAGAUGAUUCAGUGCAGUGACAGUAAAGUCCUAAUAAUGCUGGAUAUUUUCAAGUGCUUUCAAACUUCAGCUGCUCUUUCUUGGUAAAGGCAAUGGUAACACAUUUUUCAACCCCUUUUGCCUCUUGAAUGCUUGCAAGUCCAAUCAUGGUUUUAGUAAUGCAUUUAGCAACACAGAGCUCCUCAACAAUCCAUGUUCACAAAGGCCUGCAAGGGCU